AACGAACGCUGGCGGCAGGCCUAACACAUGCAAGUCGAACGAGAACGGCACUUCGGUGCUUAGUAGAGUGGCAGACGGGUGCGUAACGCGUGGGAAUCUACCUAGUAGUAGUGGAUAACAGUUAGAAAUGACUGCUAAUACACUAUACGCCCUUCGGGGGAAAGUUUUAUCGCUAUUAGAUGAGCCCGCGUUAGAUUAGUUUGUUGGUGGGGUAAUGGCCUACCAAGACUACGAUCUAUAGCUGGUCUGAGAGGAUGAUCAGCCACACUGGGACUGAGACACGGCCCAGACUCCUACGGGAGGCAGCAGUGGGGAAUAUUGGACAAUGGGCGAAAGCCUGAUCCAGCCAUGUCGCGUGAGUGAUGAAGGCCUUCGGGUUGUAAAACUCUUUCAGAUGGGAAGAUAAUGACGGUACCAUCAAAAGAAGCUCCGGCUAAUUUCG
rnacentral:rRNA from 1 species